rnacentral:rRNA from 1 species
ACGCUGGCGGCGUGCCUAACACAUGCAAGUCGUACGAGAAAAUUUGCUUCGGCAAAUGAGUAGAGUGGCGCACGGGUGAGUAACGCGUGGAUAAUCUACCCUUCAGUUGGGAAUAACCCAUCGAAAGGUGGGCUAAUACCGAAUAACACUGUCCUUACCACGGUUGGACAGUCAAAGAUAGCCUAUGCUUGCAAGCUUUCGCUGAAGGAUGAGUCCGCGUACCAUUAGCUAGUUGGUAGGGUAAUGGCCUACCAAGGCGACGAUGGUUAGCUGGUCUGAGAGGAUGAUCAGCCACACUGGAACUGAGACACGGUCCAGACUCCUACGGGAGGCAGCAGUGAGGAAUCUUGCGCAAUGGGGGAAACCCUGACGCAGCAACGCCGCGUGAGUGAGGAAGGUUUUCGAAUCGUAAAGCUCUGUCAGGUGGAAAGAAAUGUCUGUACGUUAAUAGCGUGCAGAUUUGACGGUACCACCAGAGGAAGCACCGGCUAACUCCGUGCC